GGGGCUGAUCGGUUUCGACGGUAAUGACUGCUGAAGAGAAGCGAGUAGAGAACGCACGGUGAUCUCUUAAAACUCGGUGCGAAAAAAUAACUGCCAAUAAGCAGAAGUCUGACUUCGCCCUCGCUGCCUGAUUGCGCGAGCGCACUUACAUGAAGUCCGUCGCACCCGCCAUGCUUAUGGGUGGGAUUCGCGGCGUCGUUUUUAUAAGCCACUGGUUUGCGAGCUUGUUAGUGGCUCGCAUACGACUUUCAGCUAACUAGGUUUGUGGGCAACUUGUUUGCGUGAGUGCCCGAGCCGAAAACAUCGUUUAGCAAACUGCACUCGGAGAAGGCUUGAGUUUUGCAUUAUCGGACGGGAGUUCAAUUCUCCCCAGCUCCACCA
rnacentral:tmRNA from 1 species